rfam:Myotis davidii contig105389, whole genome shotgun sequence.
GGCGGUUCUCGAGUGAUGCACCCUGGAAUCGGGCUCCCUCCUCUCUGGUUCCGGGGUGCAUCACUCAAGAACUGCC